GUGCUUGCUGCGGCGGCACAUACCCUGAAAUUAGCACGAUGCAGAGAAAAUAAGCAUGUCAUUGCAAGAUGACAUGCAAAUUUGUGAAGUGUUUGAUAUUUUU